rnacentral:tRNA from 1 species
GGAGGAAUGGUUCAAAUGGUAGCACAAGGCCUUGUAAGUACAAGGUCCUGAGUUCAAUCCCCAGUACCUCCA